rnacentral:rRNA from 1 species
GCAAGUCGAGCGGUAGAUGGUGCUUGCACCAUUGAGAGCGGCGAACGGGUGAGUAACACGUAGGUUAUCUGCCUUACAGACUGGGAUAGCCACUGGAAACAGUGAUUAAUACCGGAUAUUGUCGAAAGAUGAAAGGUGCGUUUGCACCACUGUAAGAUGAGCCUGCGUUCUAUUAGCUUGUGGGUGGGGUAAUGGCCUACCAAGGCGAUGAUAGAUAGCCGACCUGAGAGGGGGAGC